rfam:Oryza glumipatula chromosome 12, whole genome shotgun sequence.
CCUCCAUCCAGCCAUAAGUUUUCGUACCAAACUUUGAUCAUCUAUCUUAUUUAAAUUUUUUUAUAAUUAAUAUUUUUGUUGUUAUGAGAUAAUAAAACAUGAAUGGUACUUUAUACAUGAUUUAUGUUUUUAAUUUUUUUUCAAACUUUUUACAUAAGACGGAUGGUCAAAGUUGGGUAUGGAAAAUCAUACUUGCACUUAAA